rnacentral:rRNA from 1 species
CCUACGGGGGGCUGCAGUAAGGAAUAUUGGUCAAUGGGCGAGAGCCUGAACCAGCCACGCCGCGUGCAGGAAGAAGGCCCUACGGGUUGUAAACUGCUUUUAUACGGGAAGAAAGUCCCCCUUGCGAGGGGGUGUGACGGUACCGUAGGAAUAAGCAUCGGCUAACUCCGUGCCAGCAGCCGCGGUAAUACGGAGGAUGCAAGCGUUAUCCGGAUUCAUUGGGUUUAAAGGGUGCGUAGGCGGGCUUGUAAGUCAGGGGUGAAAUCCGGCAGCUC